AAGAUCAUACUUCACAGGAUCAUUUCUGUAGUAUGCAUCGUCCCCUCCAGGUGCAAAUCUGGAGUCGUCAUUGGCCAUGAUGAUGAGACUCGUCCAUUUACCAGAGCGUGAGACUGCUAGUGAUCUGCUGUUCGCAGUAAUGAUCACUUAGCGACGAUGAUCGCAACCGCCCUGGGCGGAAGGUAGAUGGACUGUCUGAGUGGU